UCCGCCGCCCGAGCUUCUGAACGCCUCAGGAGGCUUCGGGUUGCCUGAGCCUGUGGGGAAGGGAAAUAAAGCCCGGCCGAGGCAGGAGGCGGCGAAGGGCCCCGCGCGCCCCACAGCCCAGACAAAGCUGCGUCAAGAGAGCGGCUUUUUUUUUAUCCAGUCGGGUCCACCGAGGAAACCAAGUCGGGCUCCGCCACACGUGCGGCAGCCCGGCGGGGGCCGGACACCGCCCCCACAACCACCGCCCCCACAACUGCCGACCCCGCAGUACCCACGAGCACAGCCCCCGAGCGCCUCAGGGCGGGGCAAGGGGCGCGAACGCCGGCCAGGGUCCCCGCCCGCAGCGGCCCCGACACGCUCGAGGCCCCCGCGGACUCCCGCCCCUCGCCGGCCGUUCCUUCGCCGGCCGGACCGUCGGGCCGCGAGAAACAAAGGAGCCGCCGCUGCUCCCACCCGCGCCCGCUUCACCGCGUACCCCUCCCCAGCGCGUCGGGCCAGGCUCGCCCUCACCCGUCCCUAGGUCCGCGCACCGGCUGCCUGCGGCCCUUAGACGGCAGGCCCGGCAGAGCCGGGGCCUCGGGUGCGCGGCCGGCCGGCUCGGGGCCGCACUCACCGCUGCAGCACCAGGACGACGGGGAGCCGUUGGGGAACUUGGCUGAGUCCGGAGCGAUGCAGACGCUGGAACUGAGGUGCGGGCACUCCAUGGCCACGAGGACCGUGGCAGGGAGGACAGAGGCUCCGGGGCCGAACGAGGCGGGGGCGGAGGGACUCUGGAGGCUCCGUCUGGGGUCGCUCCUCGCCGGGCGCUAGGCAGACAGCGGCUGCGUCCCGAGCCCUUGCGUCAAAGAAAGCAAGGGCUUCCGGGCGCCGGGUUUUCCCGCCCGCCCUCUCUCAGCACUCCGCUCCGAAGAACGUGGAAUUCCGGGAUCCGGGUUCUGCCGCCACCUCUAGACCCGAGGCUUCCGCCUUCCCGGUCAGGCCCCGCCCCCAAGGCCGGCUCCGCCCCUGUGCACUCCCGCGGGUGGGGUCUCCGCGCGCGCUACCCUCAUCUGAUAGCUCAGGUUCCUGCAGCGCUUGGAAGUGACUUUCCCAAUUCCGCUCCCCUGGGCGGCUGCGGCUUCCCUGACUCAGGGAAUGGGGCUACCGGGCCCCGGCAGACAAGUCCGGUCCGCUGCGUCUAUCGGGUCCGGCGAAGGAGACUGAUAUUGCUUGGCGUGUUGGUCUGACUACAACGCGGCUUAGUGGUAGAAAAAUCUGGCCAAGUAACAGAGGGACAGAAAGAAAAUACAAACCACUCGGGCAGACGGGCACCGUAACCCUCCCAUUUUACCAAGCAAGAAACAAGCCCGGGGAGAUUAAGCCUGGCCCCGUGUUUGCGCCAGUGGGCUGCUUGGGUCCCAGAGCAAUCUAAUUCUGUCCUUUGAGACAGGUGUGGUUCUGAGCCGGUUCUGAGUUCUGCGCACACGGCCGUAGCUGGAAGAUGAGUGGCUGAGCCCAUUGGGGCACCCACGAACCUGGAUUCAGACCUUGUCACCGUGAUUAACUUUCAGCGUUACCAGGAGCACGUCGUCCUGAACUUUACAAAUCUCUCUGCUGGAAAUUUAAGUGAAAUACAUGUAACCUGGUUUUCGAGGUCCCGCCAACAGGUGAUAAAAAGGGAAGGGAUCUAACAUUGUUGGACGCGCUGAACCGCUUCCCUGCCAGGCACUUUGCAAUACAAAAUACCUCAUUUAAGCUUCGCUAUACCCUACAACUGAUGUUACGUUUCUCUUUUUACCGCGGGGGACAUCGAGUCUAUUAAUUUGCUAAUCCGUGCCGAGAUUAGGUCCUCUGCUCUCUGGCCUAUUUUAGAAAAGAGUUUAUGGGAGGGCAAACCUCUAGGGGCUGCUUGGAUUCGCCUUACACCGGAGCCGGAGGAGCCUGCGACUUAACUAGGGACAGUCUUAAGGACACCAGGGCUGUUACAAAUAUUGCCUCAGAAGUUUGGGCUCCUUGAAAACCCGUGAAAGGAGCCACAAGGCCAGAAGGCAAGCAAGGGGAGGGGGAAGACUGAUGUAGCAAUUCAAUGGGCAGAGUGGGGGGGGGGGAAGGAAGGUCCGGAAAUUAUUAACUGGGCCGGGUAGUGGUUAGAGUGGGGCACCUCCCUGAAGUGCAAUCUUGGAGCAGCCCAAGGUCACUCCCUUGGUCACUUCUCACUACUCCCUCAACCCCAGCAGUCCUCUGCUAAUGGUGUCCACCUUCCUGCAGCAUCUUUGAGACCUUUCCCCCCCUUUGUUUCUUCAAAGUUCCUUUGCCCUUUUUCAAAUUAUAUUAUUGAAGUUAUUGCAGUGAGGAGUUGUGGAAAGUGCAUAGGAAGCCAGGUAAGCAAAUGUUCAAAUCUUAAUUCUGCCAUUAUUUGGUGGCUAACCUUAGCAAGUGUUUUUAGUCCUUACCCCUCCCCCAACUUUUUUCUUAAUCUGUAAAACUGGAAAAAUAAUACGUAUCUGAAAAAGAAAUUAAAUCACGAGAUUUACUACCAUGUAGUAGGUAUUAAAUAUAGUUUUGUUUAUAACAGCAGUUGUGGGAUGCUUCCCACAGGAUAAACAAUAAUAUCUAACCUUUGCUCAAGCUCUUCCAUCUAUCUCCUCCUACCAGCCUAUUUAUCUUUCAGGCUUGGCUCAACCAAUCUUCUGUUUCUCUCAGGACAUGUUCCCCAUUUGGUAUCUAUAGCCCCUCAUUUGGCCAUGGAACAGUCUGACUCAUGCUGUCUUAUACUGGUAUGUAAUGUUACUUUUUUCACCCUCUCAGAAACUGUUUCCUAAUCCCCUAAACCUCAGUUUAAACACCACUUCCUGCAGGGAGGCCUUUUCUGACCCUGCUCCACCCCCAGGGUACCUCCCAGGGUGUGAUGCCCUUGACUGCCCCCACACUGCCUUUAUAAAACAUUCUUCUGCAUGUAAUUAUUUGUUUAAUGUCUGUCUUCCCCUUGGAGGUCCGUAAGGGUAGCAAACAAGUCUGUCUGGUUUCCUGCUUUAUUUCUAACAUAGUAUGUAGAACAUGGAAGGUGUCCAAUAAAUAAAGGGUUCAAUGAAUGGAAGAGUGGGUGAGUGAUGCUUUAGCAAUAUUUAGGAAGAAAGGAGUUUAGGAAGUGCCUAUAUAUAUAUAUAUAUAUAUAUAUAUAUAUAUAUAUAUGUAUCAGGUAUUUUCCACCUUGAGAGUAAACUGUACAUUUCAAUUCUGAGUUUGUGAUUUUAAAAGGAUCAGACAUGUUAAAGCAUCUUGUAAGGUAUAAACUGCUAAAACAGAUAUAUUAGUAUUAUAUAUUAUAGUAUUAUUGUCAUCUCUCCAUAACCAGAAUAAAAAUUCCGUGGAACAGGGGCCCUAUUUUGGCCAUUCUUGAUUUUGGUCGUCCCCUAAAGGGUAGACUCAGGCAGUCCAAAGAAGUCCAAUGGAAUCAGAGACCAGUUUCCUGGGGCUUUUGGUAGCCUGCCCUAAAACAGAGAACUUUCCUGUGUCUUUGAAAGUUUUCACAGUAAGAAAAAUUUGAAGGGGGGGGAACCCCUCAGUGAGUAAAUGUGUCAAACGGGGGAAGGCCAUGGGGCACCCUGGGAAAUCUGCCUUUUCAUCCAUGGAUUCUGCAGCUGCAUUUAAUACAACCUUCGCUUUUUUGUUCUUGGCUGGCAUGCCUUUGGCUCCCAAGAGCUCCGACUUACAUACCAGCAUGCCCAGAUAGUGAGGAGGGAGCUUCCAGCUCCAUUGCUUUGCACCACCGUUUCCACCACCCCAUACCCUACCCAGCCCCCUGGAUAUCUGCUGGGGCUACCAGCCCAAACACCUGCCAGAAGCAGUGGGCCUAUUUUAAAAGUGUGCAUUUUUUGCACAGGGGAGGAAUGCGCAAUUCCAACAGUACUAUCAAAUGAUUCUCGUAUAAAGAAUGUGUAUAUACAUUGGAGUGGGAAGAAGUGAAAGAAGGGGAUGUUCCCAGAUGCAUAAGAACUGUGAUCAGGAAAAAGCUCAAGGUUGCUGCAACCUGCCAAAAAUUUAGAUUUGUGACUUAUGGUAGAAUCUGUGGUCCUCAAGAAUUACAAAGCUGACCAGGCCCUGUGAAAAAGUAGCUCUGACUAUCCCCAUUCAGGUAAGACUGAUUAGAAACACCCAGAGAGCUGGCUUAAAUAUUUACUAUAGAGAUUUUUCUAAGAGCAAACCUCCUUGGAAAACCAAAGUUAGAUCAAGAGGAGGCUUCAAAGCAUUGAAAAGUGUUGGGGGUGGAGGAGCAUCAGCUCAAAAACUCUUCUAUCACCAGGUUUCAUUUUCCUAGCAGCACUGAUCUGAUAUUUUGUUGCUUGUUUACUUAUUUAUCUAUUAUCCAUAUCCUCAUGAGAUUGGAGACCUUGCCAGUCUUGUUCGAAGCCUGAUUGCCAACUCCUGGAAUACAGCUUGAUAUAUGCCAGGCCUCAGUAACUAUUUGUUAAAUGACUAAAUAAAAGGGGAACAGGGGAAACAGCUCAGAAUCCACAUCCUCAAGGCUCUGGGUUCAAUCCCCAGACAGCAAACCCACUCACCCAUCCCCCAAAAAAGGGGUGAUGAUGGGCAUGGGCUUCAGCAGAUGCACCCUCACUUUCUUACCCAAGAAUAUUGGUGGUGUCAUUCUUCUCACUUCUUUCCAUUCACCCCUUUCACAUUACCUCCCCUACAUAGUCACCUGUCACCUCCCUUUUGCUAAAGUUUUUGUGUGUUUUUAAAAAAAUUGUUCUAGCAGUACCUAAAAUCAUUCUCCUAUUAUACAUAAUGUUCUUCCUCACCACUCUGUGCCCUUCUCAUCUGGUACCCUUCUACCUGGCCACCUCCUUCUCCUCCUUCAUUAAACACAGUGCCUUCUCAGGGCAAUCCUCCAUCACUCACACAAGCUGACUUCAAAGUCUUCCCUCACUACCACCCCCACCACCCCCAUCUUCUGUCCCUGCAGUUUGUCACAGAGUGCUGUUAUUUUCUGGUCACAUUUUGGUCUCACUUGAGAGGUGUUUUUAUUUUCAUCCAUGUUCUUGGUAUUGAGUAAGCAACAGCAGAUAUUAAAACCAAUUAUAUUUGUUGAUAGAGGUUUUCGUUUCUUCUUUAAUCCCUGGACGAUAAAUAAUACCACCUUCAUUUUACUAAAAUGGAGAGAACUAAAGCUUAAAGAGGGUUAAAUAAUUACAUACAUUUGUAUAACUAGUAAUUGUUCAUUUAUCAGAGAAGGCAAAGUUUUUAUCCUUUCUGUACAUGGUCAUCUAAAUGAUUUUGCAGUAUUAUAUGAAGUUACUGAUGAGAGGGAGUCUUAGAAACCACAGGACACAGAAGAGCCUUCUGAGUAAAUAAUCAUUAUGUUUACUACCACUGUAAUAAUUAUAUCAACAUCUUAAUUUGUAUUGCCUUUGCUUUCGUCUUUAUCUCUGAGAGCCUCUUUUGUGAAGAUGAGGUUUUCCUGUUUAAAGACCUCUUUGCAGAUAAAAUACUGAUGGAUUAAGCACCACAGAAUGGCUCUAGCACCAAACAACCCCCAACAGGGAAGGAGUCACUGCUUUCCCUGGCCCUAGUCUUUCCAUUUGCAAAAUCUGAGGUUUGAACUUAAUAAUCACUCUUACAUGAUUGAGCACCCACAAUCUGUGAUAGCUCAUGGCCACCUAGUGACACUAACAGAAGGAAGACCAUCUCUCUGUGCUACGGCAGUGAUCACUAACUAUUCAUCCCAAAUCUUUUUCUUUUCCUUUUGGGUUCACAAAUAGUACUUUCUCAGCUUCUCUUGCAGUGAGGUGUUCCUGUCAAUGGAAUCUAAAGAAAUCACAAGGUUCAGCCUUGAAUAGCACUGUGAAGAGCCACCCAUGACUCAUAUAUUUCAAUGUCCAGUUUGGUUUAUCAGCACAUAGAGGAAAAUAUUAGGCUAGGCCCAGAAGGAAAUAUGGGUCUGCUAAGCUUCACUUAUGCCCUUUCUGUGUUGCCUCUUCAAUUCUUCGUUUAUUUAAUCAGCAGGUCUGCCUGCACUCUUAUCAUUUGCUAGUCACUGGUAAAUGCUUAGAGCUAUGUGGAGUCCUCCUCUACAGACAUUCCUCUGCCACUAUCAAGAGGAAGACCACUGUGGUUUUACUCAUUUUCUCUUGAUUGCUAAUUGCCUGAUUGGUAUAUCCACACCUCUGAGUUUCCAAAUGUUGUCUAGAUUUGGGCCUUAAGCCUUUCAAUGGUGUAAAUGACAUCCCAUGUAAAGGGCCUGCUUGGUGCUUGGCAUACAAUAGACCUUCAAUAAACAUCUGUUUCCUUGAAACCUUAGCAGGUAGGAGAAUUGAUGUGGGAGGUCAGGGAUGAUGGCCUAAUACCACUGGUUCUAGUAUAGCUGGCACAGAAAGUUAGAUUUUUGUCCUUUUAAAGGGAUCUGGAGGGCUGGGGUUGUGGCUCAGUGGUAUAGCACUCGUUUAGCAUGCGUGAGGCACUGGGUUCAAUCCCCAGCACCACAUAAAAACUAAAUAAACAAAAUAAAGCUAUUGUAGCCAUCUCAAACUAAAAAAAAUAAAAAUUAAAAAUUAAAUAAAAAAUAAAAAAAUAAAGGGAUCCGGACCAGGUCAUUUGUUCAACUGAUAUCACUGAUAUGCUAAGCUUUGUGAUAUAAAAAUGAGCAACACACAGCCUUAUCCUCAAAGGGAUGAAGAAAAAGGUACAAGACAGACACCAGCAAACAGGCAAUUGCAACAGUGUGAUAAGUGCUAGGAGGGGAAGUACAGGAUGUUUCUUAGCCACAAACAAGGGACAGAAAACUAACCCAGGCUGGUGAGUGGGUGUUGAGGUGGAGGAAGUGUCAAAUAAGACUUCCUGGAGGAAGUGGCAUAUAGCUUGGGACCUGCUUGAUACCCAGGUAAAGAGUGUGAAAUCAGGGUAGAGAAGGGAGCAUAGUAUCUCAGGCAGAGGGAACAAUUGCAAAGGCUCAGAGAAGAUCUGAGACUGCUGAUCCAGCUGGAGAGUUGGGUACAAGGGGACAGAAGGCUAAGAGAUGAGGCUGGCAAAUAGGCAGAAAAGACAGGAUUUAUAACAAAGAACUGCCAACACAGAGAAAUUUGGGUCUUCAGGACACUGGCAUCUCAGGGUUACACUUUGCCAAGUCCUAGGAGAAGGGAUGAAGGGGCAAAGAUACAGGAAGAAGAAAGGAACUAAUAAUUAUUAAGCAUCUGUAAGGCAUUCAGCUGCAUUAGUCAUCUGGGAAAUGCAAAUUAAAACCACAGAACAAACCUAGCCAGAAACAAACAAGCAGGGGUGAGAAUGAAGAUAUGAAUCCCCCCAACACACGCACACACACCCCAUCUUGACCAGAUCUCAGAACUGUUCUUGAGGAACUUACAGUCCACUGAGAGGAAGAGGCAAACAAUUUUUGGGGGGGCGGGGGGUGGUGCUGGGGAUUAAACCCAGAAGGCAAGCACUCUACCAACUGAGCUACAUCCCCAGCCUCCAAACACAUUUUAAGAUAUAGAAUUGUGAUGGAGAAAGGAAUGCUAGGCAUAGAGACCCCCAACUCUGCUGCCUCCUGUUCUUUCUUAACCUUCAUGUGACAAUUUAGCUAUCCAGAAUAUUUAGUUAUCCAGAAAACAAAUUUCACAAACAUCUAGAACAUACAUUUUCAUAGUCUGAACUCUUCAGACAUGUACUUUAUGAACUGAAAAGAAGCAGGGCUUUGGGGCCAAGCAGGCUAUGGUCCCAUCUCUACCACUGAUCUGCUGUGUGACAUUAGGCCAGCAUCCUGGCCUCUCCUGAACAUCUAUGAAACUGGAAUAAUAAGAACUGCUUCCAAAACAGUGACAUUCUUGCUCUGUUUCCUUUACUCAAAUAUUUAUUUUUGGAAAGAGAGAAUGGGAAUUCAUGUGUUCUGACCAGAACAAUUUUCU
rnacentral:lncRNA from 1 species